rnacentral:rRNA from 1 species
GACGAACGCUGGCGGCGUGCUUAACACAUGCAAGUCGAACGGAAAGGCCCUGCUUUUGUGGGGUGCUCGAGUGGCGAACGGGUGAGUAACACGUGAGUAACCUGCCCUUGACUUUGGGAUAACGUCAGGAAACUGGGGCUAAUACAGGAUAGGAGCUCCAGCUGCAUGGUGGGGGUUGGAAAGUUUUGGCGGUUGGGGAUGGACUCGCGGCUUAUCAGCUUGUUGGUGGGGUAGUGGCUUACCAAGGCUUUGACGGGUAGCCGGCCUGAGAGGGGGACCGGCCACAGUGGGACAGAGAUACGGCCCAGACUCCUGCGGGAGGCAGCAGUGUGGAAUAUUGCACGAUGGGCGGAAGCCUGAUGCAGCAACGCCGCGUGCUGGAUGACGGCCUUCGGGUUGAAAACCGCUUUCGCCUGUGACGAAGCGUGAGUGACGGUAAUGGGUAAAGAAGCACCGGCUAACUACGUG